AGAAUUGGUCUAGUCAGAGAGUGGGGUGAGAAAGAGGGUUUCAGAAGUUCACUCAGCCCGUGAUGCAGGUGUCUGGAGACCCAAGCGGCCCUGGCCUCUACAGCCAAUACUGAACUGACCAGAAGUACAAAAGGAAUGAGGUUUCCGGGUUACAGGAUGGUGGGAUGUGGAGAUGGAGGAAUUGAGGAGAGGCAUCUGCAACUUUAGGAAAGCUGGAUUUCUGUGCUGAGAGUAAUCUUUAAAAUAGGUGCAAGCCACUAAGACAAAGAGAAGGCUAGCCAAAAAAAAAAAUAAGGAGGACGUCCUGGAGGAGGGGCCCUGCAAGCCGGGCUCUGAAGGAAGACGGAUGUGGAGCUGAAAGAACAGAGGAAGGUGCUUUUUCCCAUGAAAAGGUUAGAGAAACUCAAAAAGUUUUGACAGUUUAAGAGAAGACAGCAGCAGGAGUCCUGGUCUGAGCAAGAAGCAAACAGUGCAGCACGGAGGCACCGGGAGACAGAUGCUAAGUGAUGGAGGCAGGCGGGGACCUGCCCGCUCUUCNNNNNNNNNNNNNNNNNGCUCUUCCCUGCCGGCUGUCUUCGUGGCCCAGCUGACGUGUCCUCUGCAGCCCGUGGGGGCGGGGGCCCAUCUCAGACAAGGCACAGGAAGCUUGGCAAACCUUGGCUUCUUCCUAAGAAAAGCAGGCUCGGCAAUGCCUACCUCAUGUGGGCAGUAGGAAAAGUGCUUAACACAGCACCUGGCUGCAAUAUACACAAGAUCGAGAAAUGCUUUUAAUAAUAGUACUAAUAGGGAUUUCUUAUACAGUGCUUACUACCUACCAGGAGUGGUUUUAAACACUUUAUCUAUAUGACUGAUUUAAUCUUUUACAGCCCCGUAAGGCAAAUCCCAUUAUUAUCUCCACUUUACAAAGGAGGACGCUAAGAUACAGAGAGGGUCUGUCACUUGCCUAUGGUCACAGAGCUGGUAGAUCUGGGAUUCAAACUCAGGUGGUCUGGCUCCAGAGGCUAGGUGUGAAUACAGAUAGAUGAAUAAAUUAGAAAGCUGGUGUAGGAGUUCCCUCUGUAGCACAACGGGAUCAGUGGCCUCUUGGGAGUGCUGGAAUAUAGGUUUGAUCACCUGCUCUGCCCAGUGGGUUAAGGAUCGGGUGUUGACGAAGCUUUGGCUUAGGUUAUGACUGCAGCUCAGAUCUGAUCCCUGGCCUGGGAAUUCCAUAUGCCAGGGGGCAGCCAAAAAAAAAAAAGCCGGUAUAUUGGAUGGACAAAGAUCGGGGAUCCUUGUGAGUUUCAGCAAGAGGCAGGUUAUUCAAGUAGCACACUGAUGUCUUGAAGGCUGGACUUCUAGUCCCGGCCUCAUGGCACCCAGGAACCACAGUUAAUCAUCUAAUGUUGCUGUGCAGUGGCCUCACCUACUCUCAGCUAGAAGUGAAGGCUGUCUCCCUUGCUGAAACAGGGAUAGUAUUUGCUAUAAUUUGGAAAGUUAGAACUGGGAAGGACCCAGAGAUCACCUGACCCCCAACUGUAUGUUUGAGGGAACUGAGGCAAGAGGGGAAGUGCCCCACCCAGAGUCACGAGUGCCUGCUGACACAGCCCCCACAUCCUUGCCCAGCACUGUUUUCUCGGCACCAUAUGGCCUCUUCUUCAUGCCAGGAAAGUCGUAUCUGGAAGUUGGAAGAACAAUUACAGAAAAAAAACCAAAUUUUUUUUUUUUUUUUGAAGAGUUGAAUGCAGGAAUACAUGGCAGAUUGUUCUGCAAUGAGAAGGGCUCCCUUUGUUGCAUGAAGUUCCUAUUUCUGUGAGUCUGCUGACGUCAUCAGGCUUUGCCUUUCUUCCUUCCUGAAGGCUUGGGGACAGGACACUGAUACAAAAUGCACCCUCCCUGACCAAACAGGCCACUUGCUGUUCCCCAACUAUCACAGCCACAAGGGACUUUCUGGGCUUGAGGCACCUCAGGUCAUUUGGUCAAGUUCUGGCUCAGCCAGGUCUGGGUGUGAAUCUCCAGCCUCAGCUUAUUGGGCCGUGACCUUUGGCAAAUACCUUAUCUCCAUUUCCCACUUAUCAAAUGGGGAAAUUACCCCCUCCUCUUGUGGGGUUAUAUAAAUGACAUUAACAUGUGUACGGAAAGAAUUUAGCCUAGGGCCUGGCCCUCAGUAAAAGGGAGACAGGAUGGCUCCCUAGGAGGUCGGAUUCCACAUACCGUUCUGAUUUAUGUUGUUUGGGUUUGCAUCUUAUCUCUCUCUUAAGGAGAUGCCAAUCUAAUUGGCAGGAAGUGGGCCAAGUUCAUCUUUCUCUCCUGUGGCACCCACUGGGAGCCCUGCACAAAGUCAGUGCUCAGCGAGCACACGUUCCAUUGGGGUGAACUGGACACAAACAGGAUGAGUUCAUCGUCACCAGAAGCUGGUGUUGCAGCUUUUGUAAAAAGCCUUGGGGACCACCCUUCUAAACAGGCUUGGAUGUUCUGGGUAGAAAUAGAGAGUGGGGUAUCACUCACAACCCUCAUUAGAGUCUGCUUGUGGGUGAUAAACACAGUAAUAGCCUCCACCUAUAGGGGACUCCAAAUAGCCACCCAGGCUCUUCCUACCCUCAUACUCACUUCACACUUACUGAGUGAGACAUUAUCAACCCUACCUGGUAGGAAACCAAGGCUCUGAGAGAUCCGCCAAAGGUCAGAUGCCAAGUGUACGCUGGGCCAAGGUCUGAACCCAAGCUUGUCUGACUCCCAAGUCCACCCUCUCUGCCCAGAGGCCUAAAAACCCCCUCCCACUAUCUAGCAGGCCCCCGUGCCUGUUUCUGUAUGGCCCUAAAGCUAAGAAGGGUUUUUACACUUUUAUUUUUUAAUUUUUUAUUUUACUUUAUCAUUUUUUGGCUUUUUUAGGGCCACACCCGCAGCAUAUGGAAGUUCCCAUGCCAGGGGUCGAAUCAGUGCUGUAGCUGCUGGCUUACACCACAGCCACAGCAACGCAGGAUCUAAGCCAUGCCUGGGACCUACACCACGGCUCAUGGCAAUGCCAGAUCCUUAACCCACUGAGCGAGGCCAGGGAUCAAACCUGCGUCCUCAUGGAUACUAGUUGAGUUUGUUAACCACUGAGCCACAACGGGAACUCUAGUUUUUAUACUUUUACAUAGUUGGAGAAGAAAUCAAAAGUAAACUAAUAUUUUGUGACACAGGAAAAUUAUAUGAUAUCCUAAUUUCAGUGUCUAUAAAUAAAGCUUUAUUAAUAAGACU
rnacentral:lncRNA from 1 species